rnacentral:rRNA from 1 species
GACGAACGCUGGCGGCGUGCUUAACACAUGCAAGUCGAACGGAAAGGCUCUGCCUUUGUGGGGUGCUCGAGUGGCGAACGGGUGAGUAACACGUGAGUAACCUGCCCUUGACUGUGGGAUAACUUCAGGAAACUGGGGGUAAUACCGGAUAGGAGCUCCUGCUCCGUGGUGGGCGCUGGAAAGUUUCGGCGGUUGGGGAUGGACUCGCGGCUUAUCAGCUUGUUGGUUGGGUGGUGGCUUACCAAGGCUUUGAAGGGUAGCCGACCUGGGAGGGUGACCGGCCACGUUGGGACUGAGAUACGGCCCAGCCUCCUACGGGACGCAGCAGUGGGGAGUAUUGCACAGUGGGCGGGAGCCUGAUGCAGCAACGCCACGUGCGGGAUGACGGCAUUCGGGUUGUAAACCGCUUUCGCCUGUGACGAAGCGAGAGUGACGGUAAUGGGUAAAGAAGCACCGGCUAACUACGUG